AGUAUUAAAUGGCUCCUCCAGCUCCUCCUCUCCUCAUCCUCCAAACUCUCCUCUGUCAGCAGUGAGCUCACUUUCUUAGUUCCAAGACCCUCCUCACACACUGACACCAUGCUGGGGACCCUCUGCACUCUCAUCACUGCUCUAACAUGUGUAGGUGGUGUGCCGGUGGUGACACAGAAGCCUGUAGUGACGGUGAGGAAAGGAGAGACAGCCUCCAUGGACUGUAACCUGGGGACUGUUACUGAUAGCAGUGCUCGCUGGUAUAAACAGAUUCCUGGAGGAGUCCCUCAGUAUCUACUAAGGUUUCAUCAGAGCCAUAGCUCUCCAAAGUAUAGCUCUGGUGUCUCCUCUCCAAAGUUCACAUCAACUCAUCAGUUAAACACAGAUUAUCGUUUGAUUAUCAACAAUGUGGAGGAGGGAGACUCAGCAGUCUAUCACUGUCACACAUAUGACAGAUCUGUGAAUGAGGUGGUAUCACAGUGAUUUACACCGUGACAAAAACCUCCUCACAAGAACUUCUGUUUUUUCAGUCUCUGACACAUCUGAUAACAGAGCAUUCAAAACAACUCAAUGUCCCACACCAUGUGCAAUAACCUGUUUAAAAAUA